UGUGCCAGCAGCCGCGGUAAUACGGAGGGUGCAAGCGUUAAUCGGAAUUACUGGGCGUAAAGCGCACGCAGGCGGUUUGUUAAGUCAGAUGUGAAAUCCCCGGGCUCAACAUGGGAACUGCAUCUGAUACUGGCAAGCUUGAGUCUCGUAGAGGGGGGUAGAAUUCCAGGUGUAGCGGUGAAAUGCGUAGAGAUCUGGAGGAAUACCGGUGGCGAAGGCGGCCCCCUGGACGAAGACUGACGCUCAGGUGCGAAAGCGUGGGGAGCAAACAGGAUUAGAUAC
rnacentral:rRNA from 1 species